rfam:Serendipita vermifera MAFF 305830 unplaced genomic scaffold scaffold_217, whole genome shotgun sequence.
UUCUUCUUAGUUUAAUGGUUAAAAUUUCAUUCUUCUAAAGUGAAAAUCCCUGUUCGAGUCAGGGAGAAGAAA